GCUGGCAGGCUUCAGCCGCCCGUCUUUGUAAGAAGACCACUGAGACAAGCCGGAGUGAGGAGCCGCAGCUGCCCAGCUGCUCUGACUUUUUAAGAAAUCUCAAUGAACUAUUUGUAGGGAAUCGCUGAUCCUGCCUGCAAGAUUUUUCUUUUUUUAGGGGACACAGCCAAGGCACCGAUCAGUGUUAAGUGAAGAUCACAUUUUAUAUGCGAUCUUGACUUCCCCCCUUUUUUUUUUUUGUCUUACAUUAUAUUUUUAUAGAUUUUUGUUAUCAUCAUGGUGCUGGGAAAGGUGAAGAGUUUGACAAUAAGCUUUGACUGUCUUAAUGACAGCAAUGUCCCUGUGUAUUCUAGCGGGGAUACUGUCUCAGGAAGGGUGAAUUUAGAAGUUACUGGGGAAAUCAGAGUAAAAUCUCUCAAAAUCCAUGCAAGAGGACAUGCGAAAGUACGCUGGACGGAAUCUAGAAACGCCGGCUCCAAUACUGCCUAUACCCAGAAUUACACUGAAGAAGUGGAGUAUUUCAACCACAAAGACAUCCUCAUUGGGCACGAAAGAGAUGAUGAUAAUUCUGAAGAAGGCUUCAACACUAUUCAUUCAGGAAGGCAUGAGUACGCAUUCAGCUUCGAGCUUCCACAGACACCACUUGCUACCUCAUUCGAAGGCCGACAUGGCAGUGUGCGCUAUUGGGUGAAAGCCGAAUUGCACAGGCCUUGGCUUCUACCAGUAAAAUUAAAGAAGGAAUUUACAGUCUUUGAGCAUAUAGAUAUCAACACUCCUUCAUUACUGUCACCCCAAGCGGGCACAAAAGAAAAGACCGUCUGUUGCUGGCUCUGUACCUCAGGCCCAAUAUCCUUAAGUGCCAAAAUUGAAAGGAAGGGCUACACCCCAGGUGAAUCAAUUCAGAUAUUUGCUGAGAUUGAGAAUUGCUCUUCCCGAAUGGUGGUGCCAAAGGCAGCCAUUUACCAAACACAGGCCUUCUAUGCCAAAGGGAAAAUGAAGGAAGUAAAACAGCUUGUGGCUAACUUACGUGGGGAAUCCUUAUCAUCUGGAAAGACAGAGACGUGGAAUGGAAAGUUGCUGAAAAUUCCACCAGUUUCACCCUCUAUUCUUGAUUGUAGUAUAAUCCGUGUGGAGUAUUCACUAAUGGUAUAUGUGGAUAUUCCUGGAGCUAUGGAUUUAUUUCUUAAUUUGCCACUUGUCAUUGGCACCAUUCCUCUCCAUCCAUUUGGUAGCAGGACCUCAAGUGUAAGCAGUCAAUGUAGCAUGAACAUGAACUGGCUUGGGUUAUCCCUACCUGAAAGACCUGAAGAACGUGCUGUUCGAAUUGCGUGUAUCUUUUUCCUUCAGCACCACCAAGCUAUGCAGAAGUGGUAACAGAGGAACAAAGGCGAAAUAAUUUGGCACCAAUGAGUGCUUGUGAUGACUUUGAGAGAGCACUUCAAGGACCACUGUUUGCUUAUAUCCAGGAGUUCCGGUUCUUACCUCCUCCUCUUUAUUCAGAGAUUGAUCCAAAUCCUGAUCAGUCUUCUGAGGAUAGACCGUCCUGCCCUUCUCGUUGAAGGAACACUUGGUUGAAUCUAGUUGAUGUGGGUUCCGAACUGUAUGUCUUCCGGCUGAGGACAGAGGAGUAUCUUGGAGACACGUUUUCAGAGGAAGUGGAAUUGCUUUUGCACAGAGAAAUGGCGAAUACAUGAAACAACCAGUGGUCAUGCUUUAGAAGCCUCUAACAACCUUCUGGGACUGCUCCUACAUGCUUGAAGAUCUAAGCUUUUUUCUUUUAAAACUGGCACAUACUACGAGCAGUCUUAGCCUAUGGUCACACGUGUCACAUGUCAAGACACCACGUUGUAAAGAAGGAUGAUUUCCUUCUUUGAUUUGAAAAUUUGCACAUGCUCAAUGCUUACAUUGUGCAGUUCCAUGUCACUACAGCUUUUUUUUUCCAUUAUGCCAGACUCUUGAUACUCUUUUAAAACUUGCUUGUGUUCAGCACAACAAGGAACAAAAGAAAGCUUUGAAAAAACUUACAUGAAAAAGAUGCACUGACAUUUUUUUUUUAAUUUAAUAUAGCCUGGACUUUACCUGCGUAUGCACAUGCUCAGAAUUGUCCUACUAGGCUGACCAUAUAUCACCUCUUCAGCUUGGAUCCUAUCAUGGAUUUAUUUACAAACAUCAAAUGCCUUCAAGCCAAUCCUUUUUGCUGUAUGUUUUGCAGCCUACUGUAGUAGAUUUGCAACGGAUAUGUGGGGGAAAAGAAAAAAAAGAUAAACAGGAAGAAGCUAAUACAAGACUGUCAAGAUUGUAUAUCUUCUUGGUUUCUUUUGAGAAUUUGUUGCCUUUCUACUAUUUACAGCAAAGCAGCAUUUGUUAUUGACUGCCUAAAAUCACUUAAUCUCAGGUGAACGCAUCACUUGCCAAACUGUUGGAAUGCUAUUUGUGUUUUGUUGCACUGUUAUUUUCUGUUAUUGUUGUUUGGUUGGUUGGCUUUUUAGAGAGGGAAAUUUGGAAACGGGACAUACACAAAAGUGAUAAUCCACCCACAUUCCCUUUUAUCAUUGCAUACAAAAUGAAAAUAGCAGAACUAAAAGUGAAGUAGAAAAAGACAGCAGGGCAGGCACCAGCAAAGAGUUCAGGGCUUUUGCUCUUAAGAAUUAUUUCUAUUAUUUUAAAAUAAUGGAAGCUUUCCAGUCACUGUGGAAAGGAGGAAAAAGUUCAUUUAUUUUUAUACAGAGUUACUUAAUUACCUCCAAAACACACAUGUUGAAAAUCAUUUUUGCUGAUGCUGACUAUUUUUAUGCGCAGGAAUAUGAUGGUGAUUAGGGAGUCUGAUUUAUAUGUCUGUCAUACUGCUCAAGCUUGACAGUAUGAAAACCCAAGUUUAUUACAAAAGCACUAAUUUCACUAUUCCAAAUACUAGAAUGAUUGUUACAUUAAUUGUGUGUGUGUAUGUUUGUGUGUGUGUGUAAGAGAGAGAGGAAGAUGGCUUUUCUUACUGAAUUUUUUCCAUUAAACAAUUUGCUAAACAUGAGGGGUCACUGAGUAUCUAUAGGUAAAUUAUUUCUAAGAUAAUUUAUAGUUGAAUCAUAACUAAACCAGCAUUUGUGGUAACAUCUAAAACUGCAACUUCCAAAGCACUGAGUAUGCUGAUAUAUUUUUAGAAGGAGCUCAGCUUCAGAUUGUCAGCUAUUCAUGACAAUCAGCAUUUCUGAUGAUGCAACAUAUGUGUGAAAUGGAUGUUAGAUCUGUCUUGCCCUUUAACCCCAUAGUUGAUAAGGUGACUGAAAAUAACAACUCUGGCUUGGUGCUUGACCUGGUUAAUACUGUCUUAAAGCUUCAUACAAAAUAGGCUUUUCCAUAAGUGGCCUUUAAGAAAACAUGGAAAACAAUUCAUGUUUGAAAUAAUGCUGACAGGGUGAAGAAAGCCCAGUGUAAAAAUGAAUCACGUUUUAAGUGAUUCAGUUAAAGGGUUUAGGCUCCUGUAGCAAACUAAUACUAAAUAACAAGGAAAUGGGGGUGAAGUAUUUUUUUACUGUUGUUAAAUCAUUUUGUGAAUGUCCCCCUCAAAAGAAGCUGAUGGAAUAUUUGGCAUAAAGGGCAUUUGGUGGUUUUAUUUUUGUUGGGGAGGGGGAUUAUCAGAAAAAAAUCCCUUUUCUUUUCUCUUAUGUCUGGCUAGGGAAUAAUUGUUGAUAUGCAUAGCAUUGGAAUACUUAGUACCAUAUUCUCUUAAAAAUAACACGGGAAGCGAGAAUGACCAAUAUUCUACUAAUUGGCACUGGGUCACAAAAUGAUAAAAAUUUUAAUUUGUAAAACUUUAUUAAAUAAAGUUUUGUUUUCCAGUCACAUAUUUCUUUACUCUUGUUUAGAGGUAUUCUAAAUAUUGGUCAAUUCCUUAUGUAAGAUGUAAGGCUCACAGUUGUAUUCCAGUAUUCAAGAUAGAUUCCUGAUUUUUCAAUUAGGAAAAGUAAAAUCCAAAAUGUUAGCAAAACAAAGUGCAAUAUUAAGUGUUUGCUUUAUAGAUUAUAUUCUAUGGCUGUUUGUAAUUUCUUCAUUUUUUUUUUAAUUUGGUGCUGAAUAUGUCCUUGUAGGCUCUGUUCUAAGAAAACUAUGUGGGAAAUGAUUUAAUUUUUCCUAUUGCUCUUCCUUGUGGAAAAUAAAGUGUUUUUUUUUUCUUUUUUGUAUAA